rnacentral:rRNA from 1 species
GGAGUUAUGAAAUGCCGGAGGGUUAAUAGCGUUCUUGCUUGACUAAGGCUCCAGAGGAAGCCACGGCUAACUCUGUGCCAGCAGCCGCGGUAAUACAAAGGCGGCAAGCGUUGUUCGGAAUUAUUGGGCGUAAAGAGCACGUAGGCGGCCUUGCAAGUCAGUUGUGAAAGCCUUCCGCUCAACGGAAGAAUGCCUUCUGAUACUACAGGGCUAGAGUACGGGAGGGGAGAGUG